GCAAGUCGAACGAAGCCUUCGGGCUUAGUGGCGCACGGGUGCGUAACGCGUGGGAACCUGCCUUUAGGUUCGGAAUAACUCAGAGAAAUUUGAGCUAAUACCGGAUAAUGUCUUCGGACCAAAGAUUUAUCGCCUUUAGAUGGGCCCGCGUUAGAUUAGUUUGUUGGUGAGGUAAUGGCUCACCAAGACUACGAUCUAUAGCUGGUUUGAGAGGAUGAUC
rnacentral:rRNA from 1 species